rnacentral:rRNA from 1 species
UUGUCCUACGGGAGGCAGCAGUGGGGAAUAUUGCACAAUGGGGGAAACCCUGAUGCAGCGACGCCGCGUGAGCGAUGAAGUAUUUCGGUAUGUAAAGCUCUCUCAGCAGGGAAGAAGAUGACGGUACCUGACUAAGAAGCCCCGGCUAACUACGUGCCAGCAGCCGCGGUAAUACGUAGGGGGCGAGCGUUAUCCGGAUUUACUGGGUGUAAAGGGAGCGUAGACGGUUCUGCAAGUCUGAAGUGAAAGCCCGUGGCUUAACCGCGGAACGGCUUUGGAAACUGUGUAACUGUAGUGCUGGAGAG